rnacentral:rRNA from 1 species
UACGUAGGUGGCAAGCGUUGUCCGGAAUUAUUGGGCGUAAAGCGCGCGCAGGCGGUCCUUUAAGUCUGAUGUGAAAGCCCACGGCUCAACCGUGGAGGGUCAUUGGAAACUGGGGGACUUGAGUGCAGGAGAGAAGAGUGGAAUUCCACGUGUAGCGGUGAAAUGCGCAGAUAUCAGGAAGAACACCCGUGGCGAAGGCGGUUCUCUGGGACGGUACUGACGCUGAGACGCGAAAGCGUGGGGAGCGAACAGG